GACGAACGCUGGCGGCGUGCCUAAUACAUGCAAGUAGAACGCUGAAGGAGGAGCUUGCUUCUCCGGAUGAGUUGCGAACGGGCGAGUAACGCGUAGGUAACCUGCCUGGUAGCGGGGGAUAACUAUUGGAAACGAUAGCUAAUACCGCAUAACAGUAGAUAUUGCAUGAUAUCUGCUUGAAAGGUGCAAUUGCAUCACUACCAGAUGGACCUGCGUUGUAUUAGCUAGUUGGUGAGGUAACGGCUCACCAAGGCGACGAUACAUAGCCGACCUGAGAGGGUGAUCGGCCACACUGGGACUGAGACACGGCCCAGACUCCUACGGGAGGCAGCAGUAGGGAAUCUUCGGCAAUGGACGGAAGUCUGACCGAGCAACGCCGCGUGAGUGAAGAAGGUUUUCGGAUCGUAAAGCUCUGUUGUAAGAGAAGAACGAGUGUGAGAGUGGAAAGUUCACACUGUGACGGUAUCUACCA
rnacentral:rRNA from 1 species